rnacentral:rRNA from 1 species
UACGAAGGGGGCUAGCGUUGUUCGGAAUCACUGGGCGUAAAGGGCGCGUAGGCGGCUUUAUAAGUCGGGGGUGAAAGCCUGUGGCUCAACCACAGAAUUGCCUUCGAUACUGUAGAGCUUGAGACCGGAAGAGGUAAGUGGAACUGCGAGUGUAGAGGUGAAAUUCGUAGAUAUUCGCAAGAACACCAGUGGCGAAGGCGGCUCACUGGGCCGACACCGACGCUGAGGCGCGAAAGCGUGGGGGAGCG